rnacentral:rRNA from 1 species
AACCCCGGAUCUGCGGUGGGUACGGGCAGACUAGAGUGCAGUAGGGGAGACUGGAAUUCCUGGUGUAGCGGUGGAAUGCGCAGAUAUCAGGAGGAACACCGAUGGCGAAGGCAGGUCUCUGGGCUGUAACUGACGCUGAGGAGCGAAAGCAUGGGGAGCGAACAGGAUUAGAUACCCUGGUAGUCCAUGCCGUAAACGUUGGGCACUAGGUGUGGGGACCAUUCCACGGUUUCCGCGCCGCAGCUAACGCAUUAAGUGCCCCGCCUGGGGAGUACGGCCGCAAGGCUAAAACUCAAAGGAAUUGACGGGGGCCCGCACAAGCGGCGGAGCAUGCGGAUUAAUUCGAUGCAACGCGAAGAACCUUACCAAGGCUUGACAUGUUCUCGAUCGCCGUAGAGAUACGGUUUCCCCUUUGGGGCGGGUUCACAGGUGGUGCAUGGUUGUCGUCAGCUCGUGUCGUGAGAUGUUGGGUUAAGUCCCGCAACGAGCGCAACCCUCGUUCCAUGUUGCCAGCACGUAAUGGUGGGGACUCAUGGGAGACUGCCGGGGUCAACUCGGAGGAAGGUGAGGACGACGUCAAAUCAUCAUGCCCCUUAUGUCUUGGGCUUCACGCAUGCUACAAUGGCCGGUACAAUGGGUUGCGAUACUGUGAGGUGGAGCUAAUCCCAAAAAGCCGGUCUCAGUUCGGAUUGGGGUCUGCAACUCGACCCCAUGAAGUCGGAGUCGCUAGUAAUCGCAGAUCAGCAACGCUGCGGUGAAUACGUUCCCGGGCCUUGUACACACCGCCCGUCAAGUCACGAAAGUCGGUAACACCCGAAGCCGGUGGCCUAAC